UACGUAGGGUGCAAGCGUUGUCCGGAAUUAUUGGGCGUAAAGAGCUCGUAGGCGGCUUGUCGCGUCGGCUGUGAAAACCCGCGGCUUAACCGCGGGCUUGCAGUUGAUACGGGCAGGCUAGAGUUCGGUAGGGGAGACUGGAAUCCCUGGUGUAGCGGUGAAAUGCGCAGAUAUCAGGAGGAACACCGGUGGCGAAGGCGGGUCUCUGGGCCGAUACUGACGCUGAGGCGCGAAAGCGUGGGGAGCGAACAGG
rnacentral:rRNA from 1 species